rnacentral:rRNA from 1 species
UUGAACGCUGGCGGCAGGCCUAACACAUGCAAGUCGAGCGGAUGAAGGGAGCUUGCUCCUGGAUUCAGCGGCGGACGGGUGAGUAAUGCCUAGGAAUCUGCCUGGUAGUGGGGGAUAACGUCCGGAAACGGGCGCUAAUACCGCAUACGUCCUGAGGGAGAAAGUGGGGGAUCUUCGGACCUCACGCUGUCAGAUGAGCCUAGGUCGGAUUAGCUAGUUGGUGGGGUAAAGGCCUACCAAGGCGACGAUCCGUAACUGGUCUGAGAGGAUGAUCAGUCACACUGGAACUGAGACACGGUCCAGACUCCUACGGGAGGCAGCAGUGGGGAAUAUUGGACAAAGGGCGAAAGCCUGAUCCAGCCAUGCCGCGUGUGUGAAGAAGGUCUUCGGAUUGUAAAGCACUUUAAGUUGGGAGGAAGGGCAGUAAGUUAAUACCUUGCUGUUUUGACGUUACCAACAGAAUAAGCACCGGCUAACUUUGUG